rnacentral:misc_RNA from 1 species
GUAUAGAUUAUAUAGGCACAAACAUUCUAUUAACAUACAUUGGGGUAAAUGAAGCAACAUAGACCAUGAAAAAAAAAAUUCCAAGGUCUACAAAAAGUGCACAGGUGGAGAUAUAAAGAUGACAAGGUGUGCACAUGCUCCCUAGAGAGCCAGCAACAACCCAUCAGGUUUAUUUCAAUAAUGAUCCUUCCGCAGGUUCACCUACGGAAA